rnacentral:ncRNA from 1 species
AUGGACCGGGGAGAGUCGGAUACUUUGAGAGUAGUGUCUUAAGGGGGUGGUAUGUCCCAUCCCAAGGCUAAAUAACGUGAGGAGACCGAUAGAUUACAAGUAGUGUGAACGAAAGAUGAAAAGAACUCUAAAACAGAGGGUGAAAAGUUCCUGAACUUGCUUAGGGUUAAGGCUAUUUAUAGUACCCGUCUUGAAACACGGAUUAGGGAGUUUAUCUGUAGUGCGAGUCUUUGCACGUUAACUGUAAAGGCGUAGAGAAAGCAACUGGCGUUUGCAUGGCUACUGAGCAUUACUGAUAGGACCCGAAAGGUGGUGAACUUUGCCUGCACAGGUUGAAGUCAGGGGAAACUCUGAUGGAGGACCGUACGGGUUAUUGAUGUGCAAAUCAUUUUUCUGAUGUAGGUAAAGGUGCGAAAGACUCAUCGAACCACCUAAUAGCUGGUUUCCUCCGAAGUUUCCCUCAGGAUAGCUGUAAUGCAUUUAGUUAAGGGGAGUAGAGAUAUGGGUAGAGGUGCAGGGAGCCUUCGGGUUCUCAACUUAUUUCCAAACUUCGAACCUCCUUGUUAGGCAUUUACCUAACUGGAAAUGCUUAAAUGAAUUAGCGUUACAAGUGGGCUCUGACCGGUAAGCGGUCAUGGCGAAAUGGGAUGAACCAUACGUCUGAAUAAGGUGCCGAAAUGUACUAUCACUGAUACCAUAAAGGGAGUCCAUGUAUUUAGACAGCAGGUCGGUGCCCCUAAAAGCAGGUAUCCGCUAAAGAGUGUGUUAAAACUCACCUGCCGAAUACUAGGGCCCCGAAAAUGAAUGGCGCAUAUAGUACUACCGAUCUCAGACAUCAGUUCUAUUGAACUGAGAGUAGGGGGAUGUGGACAUUUUUGUGAAGGUGCAAUGUGAGUUGGACUGGAAGAAUGUCUAUUACAGAUCCUAAUUGAAGUAGCGAUUAUCCAGGCUUGUAUCCUGGGGGCUGAUGAGGAGUAGGGUUUCUGGACAACUUAAACAGAUCCAGAGUUAGUCGAUCCUAAUCUCAAUAAUGGGAGAAAGGGAGUACAGUUGAUAUUCUGUAACUGACAACAGUCGCGG